rnacentral:rRNA from 1 species
UGACGGUAUCAUAUGAAUAAGCACCGGCUAACUCCGUGCCAGCAGCCGCGGUAAUACGGGGGGUGCAAGCGUUACUCGGAAUCACUGGGCGUAAAGAGCAUGUAGGCGGGUGAAUAAGUUGGAAGUGAAAUCCUAUAGCUUAACUAUAGAACUGCUUCCAAAACUGUUCACCUAGAGUAUGGGAGAGGUAGAUGGAAUUUCUGGUGUAGGGGUAAAAUCCGUAGAGAUCAGAAGGAAUACCGAUUGCGAAGGCGAUCUACUGGAACAUUACUGACGCUCAGAUGCGAAAGCGUGGGGAGCAAACAGGAUUAGAUACCCUGGUAGUCCACGCCCUAAACGAUGUACACUAGUUGUUGCUAUACUAGAUAUGGCAGUAAUGCAGUUAACACUUUAAGUGUACCGCCUGGGGGAGUACGGUCGCAAGAUUAAAACUCAAAGGAAUAGACGGGGACCCGCACAAGCGGUGGAGCCAUGUGGUUUAAUUCGACGAUACGCGAAAAACCUUACCUGGCCUUGACAUAGUAGGAAUCUUUAAGAGAUUAGAGAGUGCUAGCUUGCUAGAACCUACAUACAGGUGCUGCACGGCUGUCGUCAGC